AAAACAAACAAAUGUCACGUUGUGCAAUGGUCCCAAAAAAUAUCAAUGCGUAGGCCUAUUCAAUUCCUUUGCGUAGCUAACAAAUGGGGAAUAAAUAUCGACUCUUCUUACCUCUAAAUAUCCUUCUUAAUUCCCUUGUUUACAUGAAUAUUUUUAAUGACGCAGCAAGAACAUACGGAGCAACGUGAUUGUCGCCAUUUUUUGUUGUUAUUGAAAUAUCUUCAGCCAUGUGACAAACCACAUCUAUUUUUUUUUCUCCAAGCUUCCGGGUCUGGAUGCGAAAUUAGUUAUCUAAAAUUGUUUAAUCCUCCGAGUUGUUCGGGUCGCUGGUGGAUGCUGGUAGGUUUUGCCUGACCGGAGACAGCAGGCUGUGCGCAGUAUUUGACAGCUUUGGGACACUGCCGACGCUGUACGGCUUUCAACAAGUCAGGGUCUUUGCAGCGGCAGACAAGUUCUGGGAGGAGGUGGUCCAUGAAGAAAGAUUCAGCCUUGGGAAGAGUUUCUUGUAGAAAGGGCUCAUCUCUCCGUAGCCGGCAAAUGAUGCUGCUUGUCUUCGUCCACACCAUGAAGUCACACAUGUCCAUUUGAGAAACAUACAUUUGUAACUGGAUCUGUGAGUAAUAUGGGUGGGUGGGUCGCAGGUCAUACCGUCAAAACCUGGUAAGUUGAGUGAAAUUCAUGGACAUUUCAGUAAGUGUUUUUAUGAUUUGUGAUGCAAUGAAAAACAAAGCGAUUUUUCAGUAAAAUGACAUUUUAUUGCAACUGUGUCAGGGAGAACUUACAAGCAAUACGGCAUCUACAUUGAUAUCAGUUCACUCCGAAGCCUAACCUAUGCAUGUCUACCUGGAUGUCGGUCUGGCACUAUUUUAUAAUCUUCUUAGCAUUGUCUUCCUUCAUAUAUUAAUAUUGUCUGGCGUCAUAUUCUCUUCUCUUACUUCCUGAAGGCCUCCACACACCGGCGCCGCACAGCGUCGCGUCAAAAAGUCUGCCCCCAUUAUUCCGGUUGUACUAGCACACACCGGCGCCGACUAGCCGCGCGGCAGCGUUCCGCGCCGCGCCGCCCAACUACUCUUCGAGACAAUGUUCUAUUCCCGAGCGUCGCCGCCCCUGAAAAAGCGCUUUGUAAAAGCUGAGUUGUACAUCCCGGGUCCCGUAGGCACCUCCAUAUCUACCCCUCACCACUGGAUGUCGCCCUCUUUCGUUUGUGAUAAACAAUUACGAGAAUGGACGAUGAGAGACUGGUCGUCGAGGUGGAAAAAUAUGUCGAAUAGUAUGACCAAAGUUCCCGUCAUUACAAAGACAACUCCAAAAAGGUCAUUGCCUGGCGAGCCAUAGCUCUGGAGAUUGGAUCUUCAGAGAAAUCAACAAUGGUGGACUAAGUACCCAAACCAUUAACCAUAAUGGGAAAUAGACGAAAUCAAGUCACAUAUAAUCACACCAUGUAGGUAGAAACCAGAUUACUUGUAAUAUAUAUUUUUUUAUUUAAGGCAAGGCAACUUCAUUCAUAUAGCACUUUUAAUACAUGAAGCAGACUCAAAGUGAUUAACAUAGAAACAUUCUCAUACAAUAAAAUAGAUAAGUAAAAGGAGGCAAAGCUCAAAAAUGCAUUGUCAUGUAUUAACUGUCUCUCUGGUAUCAGAUCAUGUAUUAACUGUCUCUCUGGAUUUAGGGAAAAAUAACAUUAAGUGUCUCGAGCACUCAAAUAAAAUACACUGGCUACUGAAUCCAGCACAGCAAUAACAUCACUGUAUUUAUCCCGAGGGAUAAAAAAAAAGUAUAUAUAUAUAUAUAUGCAAAAGAGUAUACCAGAGAGGGAUAAUAACUAGAUUAUAGGUCAUCAUAUAGGCUGCAUCAUAUGGUUCUGCCAUUGCACACUUAGU
ensembl:lncRNA